CUUGUGAAUGUCUAGUUAUUUUUCUCAAUAAAGUAUUGGAAGAUAUAUGUUAUUUGAUUUGUAGAAGAAAACAACCCGGGAGGAGUUUUGAUUGAUCAAUACACUACUUAUUUUUGUUGCAGUUGACAUCCAUGAGGGAAUCAUAUAUGCCUGAAUUGAAUAAGAUGAAGGAGGGAAUCUCGAUGAGGUUACGGCCGCAUGAGUCUCUUUCGCAACAGCUGAAGCCAAAGCGGAAGUCAAAGCGAAAGUCAAAGGAGCUUGAAAAAUUGAAAAAUUUUGAAGUGAUGUUGGGCCGCGUAAUUGCUAUGUUGCAAGUUAACAAAGCUGAUAUAGAGCCUACUUUCAAGGGGAAGCUGGUUCAAUACGACAAACAUCUUAUGAACUUUAUCAACACAAGUAGGCCCAGGAAUGUACCUAGGCAGCAAGGGCAACUUCCCCCUCCUCAUAUGCACUCAGGAUGAAGCACUGGACCCCAGAAUGACAAACAUGGAGCGUUUUUUUGAAAAAUAGUAUUUGAAAAAUAUGCAAUACUAUGUCCUUGUUCAGAACAGAGUUCCAUCUCUUGCUCCAGUUCCAUCUCUAGCUCCUAUUCCAGAUCUUGACCCAAACAAACCAUCCUUGUCCAAAUAACUUACUAUGUUUGCAUUAUUUCUCAAAGUUUGGAUUGUUUUGUCGUUUGGUUUGUAAUGCUUGUGGGUUGUUAUUUGAACUUAUUGGACUAACCUUCGUACUAUGGUUUGCUUAUAAUAUUAUGCUUUAUUUAGUA